rnacentral:rRNA from 1 species
AAACUAACAAGGAUUCCCCUAGUAACGGCGAGUGAAGAGGGAAGAGCCCAAGAUUGAAAGCUGGCGUCUUCGACGUCCGCAUUGUAAUCUCAAGAAGUGUUUUCCGCUACGGACCAAGCCUAAGUCUCCUGGAAAGGAGCAUCAUAGAGGGUGAUAAUCCCGUACAUGGCUUGGAGCGCCC